CGCUGGCGGCGUGCUUAACACAUGCAAGUGGAGCGACGAACCGGGGCUUGCCCCGGGGCAGAGCCGCGAACGGGUGAGUAACACGUGGGUUACCUGCCCCAAUGACCGGGACAACCCGAGGAAACUCGGGCUAAUACCGGAUGUGGUCUUCGGACGAAAGGAAGCUUCGGCCUCCGCAUUGGGAUGGGCCCGCGGCGCAUUAGCUUGUUGGUGGGGUAACGGCCUACCAAGGCGACGAUGCGUAGCUGGUCUGAGAGGACGAUCAGCCACACUGGGACUGAGACACGGCCCAGACUCCUACGGGAGGCAGCAGUGGGGAAUCUUGCGCAAUGCGCGAAAGCGUGACGCAGCAACGCCGCGUGGGGGAAGAAGGCCUUCGGGUUGUAAACCUCUUUCAGUUGGGACGAAGCUUCGCGGGUUAAUAGCCUGCCGGAGUGACGGUACCUUCAGAAGAAGCCCCGGCUAACUACGUGCCAGCAGCCGCGGUAAUACGUAGGGGGCAAGCGUUGUCCGGAAUCAUUGGGCGUAAAGAGCGUGUAGGCGGCCCGAUAAGUCCGCUGUGAAAGUCCAGGGCUCAACCCUGGAAUGCCGGUGGAUACUGUCGGGCUCGAAUCCGGAAGAGGUGAGUGGAAUUCCUGGUGUAGCGGUGAAAUGCGCAGAUAUCAGGAGGAACACCAAUGGCGAAGGCAGCUCACUGG
rnacentral:rRNA from 1 species